rnacentral:rRNA from 1 species
AUGAAAAUUCUUAGUUGGAACUGUCGAGGGCUGGGACAACCUCGUACGGUUCAGGAGCUUGUGUGUCUGACUAAGACGCACAAUCCAAAUGUUAUCUUUCUUCCGGAAACUAGGAAAAAUAAAUAGUAUGUUGAGCUUUUGCGGUACCGGUUGGGUAUGAAUAAUGUGUUUACUGUUUCUGGCCAUGGUAAAGGUGAAGGUCUAGUCGUGUUUUGGGAUGGAGCAUAUUCUUGUGAGCUG